UUUUUAAGUCUCCCAAACAAAGUUUGGAGACUUAUUGUUUUUGCUCAGUUCUUAUUAUUUUUAUUAUUCUUCUUUUUCUUUUUCUUUUUCUUUUUCUUCCGCCACAUUAAAAAUGAACUUGUCCGCAGCGUUUCUCCAAAACCCCUGGUCAGAUUAACUUAGGGUUUCAUAGAAUGUUACACUAAUAUGUCUAGGUGAGCCAUCAAUCUUUCGUUUGUGCAUUGGGGUCUAUUAAGGGGUAUUUUGGGGGCAGAAAGAAGGGUGGGGUGUACUAUAGAACCCUAUGAGAUUUUAUUUUCUAAAAUUUUCAAAUGAAUAUAACUUGAAAACUGUAAGUGAUAGAUACAUGCAGUCUUCAGAAAUAAUUAUAGGAC
rnacentral:lncRNA from 1 species